rnacentral:rRNA from 1 species
GGUUUGGGGAUUUUAGAUUUGGAUUUUAUGAAUAUUGCACUGCUAUCUAAGUGGUUGUGGAAGCUUUUUAAUGAAGAAAGCUUAUGGCAAAGAUUGCUGUGGGAUAAAUAUGUUAAGAAUUCCACCCUCGGACAGGUUAAUAAAAAACAAGGUGACUCGCAUUUUUGGCAGGGACUGCUAAGAUGCAAACCUUUGUUUUUAAACUGUUGCAGAUUUAAGGUGGGAAAUGGAAAGAAAACUAGAUUUUGGGAAGAUUAUGGCUGGGGAAGGUUAUCCGAUGCUUUCCCUAUUUUAUAUAAUAUUUCCCUAAAUCAACACAUUACAGUGCAUGAAGUUGUUUCCUCCAAAAUGUCUACUCUUCGUUUUAGAAGAGCGUUGGUGGGGCAAAAAGAAAUUCAAUGGCGAGACAUGACUGAAUUGUGUAGAUUAGUGAAGUUAACUGAGGAGAGUGAUAAAUUACACUGGAUUCCUGAUAAAACAGGGGGUUUUAGUGUGAAAUCUUUCUACUCUGUUCUCCAAAUAGGAGACAAAUGGCCUAACAGUUUUCUUUGGAAAGUUAAAAUUCCUCCAAAAAUCAAAACCUUUGUCUGGUUGGUCUUGAAUAAGAGUAUACUAACUAGAGAUGUUCUGUUACAUAGAGGAGGGAAAUGUGAAACGAAAUGUCUUUUUUUAACAAAAAGAAUCAAUUAA